rnacentral:rRNA from 1 species
GACGAACGCUGGCGGUGCGCCUAAUGCAUGCAAGUCGAACGGUCCCGGUUCGCUUCGGCUUAUCGGGAUAGUGGCGGACGGCUGAGUAACACGUAAGUGACCUGUCCCGAAGAGGGGGAUAAUUCCGAGAAAUCGGGCCUAAUACCCCGUACUGUCCCAUUCAACACGUUGGACGGGACGAAAGGUUCUCGCUUCGGCGGGUGCCGCUUUGGGAGGGGCUUGCGGCCUAUCAGGUUGUUGGUGGGGUAAG